rnacentral:rRNA from 1 species
CAGUCGCCGCGGUAACACGAAGGGUGCAAGCGUUACUCGGAAUUACUGGGCGUAAAGCGUGCGUAGGUGGUGGUUUAAGUCCGUUGUGAAAGCCCUGGGCUCAACCUGGGAAUUGCAGUGGAUACUGGGUCACUAGAGUGUGGUAGAGGAUAGUGGAAUUUCCGGUGUAGCAGUGAAAUGCGUAGAGAUCGGAAGGAACAUCUGUGGCGAAGGCGACUAUCUGGGCCAACACUGACACUGAGGCACGAAAGCGUGGGGAGCAAACAGGAUUAGAUACCCCCGUAGUCCUGUCUCUUAUACA